UAUCUACCGGUCGGUCGGUAAGCUUUAUAUACGGUAAUAAUUCAUGAUUUUCCUGUAUUAUCUGACUGGGCAGAGAUUGCUUCUAGGAUCUCCAUUGAAUGGAGUACAUAAUCUUCAAGCCUUGGUGGAAUCGGUUCUGUAUGUAUUUCGAAGACGUUGCUACAAACCAAUCUGAAGGGCAGAGUUAUUGGACGUACUUUUCACGGAUAAUACAAUCCACCAUUCUAACAACGGGAGCCACUUUUGAGCAAAAAUAGAACAAAUUGAAUGAGGCCUCGAUAUUGUCUUUACAAAAACAGCACAUUCUUGACUCAACCAUUUGUUUUGACUUAUUUUGUAAAUAACGAAGAGGUGGCCAAUCGGUAUCUCAACUAUUUUUGAUGAGAAUCUAUUAAGUCCAGUCUCUCCAUUCUUCUCUUGACGAUAAGAGACGACACUCCGUUGUUAUCACAGAUUAUUGCAGACCUUAUUUUACUAUUAGAGAGUGCUUCCACUGCUACGAAGAAGGGUGUUGAAGGCUCGAAGUUACUGGUUUUAGAAAGGUAGCUUGAGACUAAUCUCUUGGUUCUACUUAAUAGAAUAAAAUUGACUAACUCCGUAUCUCCACGAGAUAGGUAUUGACCCAGAGAAGUUAGUCCUCCUUUCCUUAAAAACUCGUCUCGACUUCUCCACCUUGGAUUAAAGUUCGUUAGAGCUCAUGGGGUCCCAAGGCCGACGUGGAUGCCUCGUACCCAAGUAUGGUUGCCGCUGAGACCAAUUUGAAUUUUUCAAAUUGUGGAUUCAGAUCUUCCUCAAAAUUGGUAACGAUCAUCGUCUUUCCUAUAUUAACCGAUAGUGCAGACUGUAUUUUAAAUUUUCCCAAGUUAUCCAAGAUUGCACGAAGGGAUUCUGUCACUUCCUCUCUGGAGCCUGAACAGAAAACUGUGACAUAAGCAUAUAAGAGACACUUCAGAGGUAUAUUUCCGGACGAUAUACUUUUUAUCCUUGAAUCCAAGUUUAUCAACUCCCAUAAACCAUUCAUCGCAAUUAUGAAAAGAGAAGGGGAAAGAAGAUCUCCUUGUGGAGUCCCUCUAAGGAUAGAGAAUCUAUCGGAGGAUCCGCAAUACAAGCUAUUGUUUUGGAGUUUCGAAGUAUUGCAGAGAUCUUUUCAGUGAAGCCCUCCUAUUACUUUGCCAGUCCUUGUUCUUCCAUUAUAAGUCAUUUUUGGGGGGAAGUCAUCGCAUGUGAGACCUAAAUCUUGUAAGUUAUAAUCUAAUAUUAUUUGUUCCCGAUCUGAAGCACUAUUUUUAUUGUAUGCACCAUUAUAACCCUGGGCGUCCCGAUUUGGUUUUCGAGUUACAUUAAAGUCUCCCGCUAAUAGUAAUUCCUUUCCGCCCAAAGGGUUUUUUUUUAC
rnacentral:lncRNA from 1 species